AUUGAACGCUGGCGGCAUGCUUUACACAUGCAAGUCGAACGGUAACAGGCCUUCGGGUGCUGACGAGUGGCGGACGGGUGGGUAAUGCAUCGGAACGUACCCAGAGGUGGGGGAUAACGCAGCGAAAGCUGUGCUAAUACCGCAUGUGAUCUGAGGAUGAAAGCGGGGGACCGAGCAGCAAUGUUUGGCCUCGCGCCUUUGGAGCGGCCGAUGUCGGAUUAGCUAGUUGGUGGGGUAAAGGCCUACCAAGGCGACGAUCCGUAGCUGGUCUGAGAGGACGGUCAGCCACACUGGGACUGAGACACGGACCAGACGCCUACGGGAGGCAGCAGUGGGGAAUGUUGGACAAUGGGCGCAAGCCUGAUCCAGCAAUGCCGCGUGCGGGAAGAAGGCCUUCGGGUUGUAAACCGCUUUUGGCAGGAACGAAACGGUGUCCGCUAAUACCGGGCGCUAAUGACGGUACCUGCAGAAUAAGCACCGGCUAACUACGUG
rnacentral:rRNA from 1 species